UGGGGAAUAUUGCACAAUGGGGGGAACCCUGAUGCAGCGACGCCGCGUGAAGGAGGAAGUGCUUCGGCAUGUAAACUUCUAUCAGCAGGGAAGAAAAUGACGGUACCUGACUAAGAAGCCCCGGCUAACUACGUGCCAGCAGCCGCGGUAAUACGUAGGGGGCAAGCGUUAUCCGGAUUUACUGGGUGUAAAGGGAGCGUAGGCGGCCGUGCAAGUCAGAAGUGAAAGCCCAAGGCUCAACCAUGGGACUGCUUUUGAAACUGUGCGGCUAGAUUGCAGGAGGGGCAAGUGGAAUUCCUAGUGUAGCGGUGAAAUGCGUAGAUAUUAGGAGGAACACCAGUGGCGAAGGCGGCUUGCUGGACUGUAAAUGACGCUGAGGCUCGAAAGCGUGGGGAGCAAACAGG
rnacentral:rRNA from 1 species